GUGAGGAAUUUUGCGCAAUGGGGGCAACCCUGACGCAGCGACGCCGCGUGGAGGACGAAGUCUUUCGGGAUGUAAACUCCUGUCAGUGGGGACGAUAAUGACGGUACCCACAGAGGAAGCACCGGCUAACUCCGUGCCAGCAGCCGCGGUAAGACGGAGGGUGCAAGCGUUGUUCGGAAUUACUGGGCGUAAAGCGUAUGUAGGCGGCAAGUUAAGUUCAAUGUUAAAGCCCACGGCUCAACCGAGGAGAUGCAUUGAAUACUGGCUAGCUAGAUGGUGUUAGAGGAAGACGGAAUUCCCAGUGUAGCGGUGAAAUGCGUAGAUAUUGGGAGGAACAUCGGUAGCGAAAGCGGUCUUCUGGGACAUACCUGACGCUGAGGUACGAAAGCGUGGGGAGCAAACGGGAUUAGAAACCCCUGUAGUCC
rnacentral:rRNA from 1 species